UGAUUAUGGGGUGGAUUCCU
rnacentral:piRNA from 1 species